rnacentral:rRNA from 1 species
UACGGAGGGUGCAAGCGUUGUUCGGAAUUAUUGGGCGUAAAGCGCGUGUAGGCGGCUGUUUAAGUCUGAUGUGAAAGCCCUGGGCUCAACCCGGGAAGUGCAUUGGAAACUGGACAGCUUGAGUACGGGAGAGGGUAGUGGAAUUCCGAGUGUAGGGGUGAAAUCCGUAGAUAUUCGGAGGAACACCGGUGGCGAAGGCGGCUACCUGGACCGAUACUGACGCUGAGACGCGAAAGCGUGGGGAGCAAACAGG